rnacentral:lncRNA from 1 species
UUGCACAUAUUCUAUAGUUGAUGAGGGCCGAAAGGUGUAUGAUAAAGACUUAAAAGAGAAGUAGAUCUAUGGGCUGACCUAAAUUAUUGGAUCAUUAUUGCUGGGCAUUUGUUCUGAAUUUCGCAUCUCAUCCGAGCAUCUUCAUGUGAUCAACAACCACAACAACCAUUCAAAUGAAGGAUCUUGGUCUGUCCUUUUCGCUCGGCUAAGU